AUGCUUAGCAAUCUGCCCAAUGACCUUCUGCUCAACAUUCUCGACAGGGUGGACACACUCGAUGCUAUAAGGACCUGCAUCCUGUCCAAGCAAAUGCUGAAGCUCCCUGCCAUGCUCACGCGGAUCUUUCUAAGUGUUAGUUCCAUUCCAGGUCUCCAUGAUCGUGUUGUCACCACCAGUGAGUUCCUCCGGACCAACAGUGCUGUGGCUCAUGUAACAGAUAGCAUCUUGAGCAAAAGGAGCCCGGAGAUCACCAUCAGCAAUCUCAGAAUCAGAUUUAUCUUGACGCAAGAUGACUCUCUCACCAUUGGCAAAUCUGUUGCCCGUGCCAUGGCAACCCGGAUGGUUGACGCAGCUGAGUUUGAGAUCACAACGGAGAAGGCCUAUAAGAUAUCCUCUCCCGACGAUCUCCUCCGCUUUGGGAAGCAGUUCAAUGAUUUUAUCGCUGCUUGUCCGGAUGUAUUCGCUGGCCUUAGGCGCCUGUGGCUGCGCAAUAUGAGGUUUGGUGAACUGGACAUACCCAACAUCCUCAGCACUUGCAAGGUCUUGGAGUCUUUGCGUUUAACCUAUUGCGACUCAGGGAUCCUUUCUGUACUCCAAGUAGAACAUGCUCUACUUGUUGAGCUCGAGGUUGACUAUGGGCAAUUUGAGAGAAUCGAGCUGAUAUGUCUACCCAAACUCCAACGGGUGAGCUAUACUGGUUGGUACUCUCAUGAAGAUCCCCUUCAUUUUGGUUUUGUACCGCAGCUUUCAAAGCUGAGCCUCACUAAAACUGGCGUCUCUUCGGAUAAGACUCUUGAGUUAACUACGUUCCUUGCUAAUGUUCCUUCCAUAACCGAUCUGCAUCUGGAUUUUAGAAGUGAAAAGAUUUGGGUUCUACCAGAAUGCCCGAAGCUGCUCACAACUACGCUCAGCAAACUACAGCAUGUGAAUCUGGACAAUCUUCCUGAAGGAUGUGAUUUAGGUUGGACAAUGUUUAUUCUUGAAGCUGCACCCUCCCUAAAAGCGCUGUGCAUCACAGUAUGGGACCAUUGGUGCAUAAUGGCGACAGACGAAGAGUUCCGGAAGGAAAAUGGUUUCUGCGAAAAGGCAGACGUGAAGUGGAAGCCGUAUGCCCCUGCUUUCAAGCACAAGAAUCUGGCUAAGCUUACCAUAUAUGGCUUCCAACCUGACGGCAACUUUAUGCGAUACAUCAGGUGUGUUGUGGAAGCUGCAGUGAAUAUUGCAGAGAUAUCUCUGCACGACAGGAAGAUGUGUGGACGCUGUGGUUACUUGGAUCCCGAGAUCAAAGGCAAGGUUUGUCCAUCAAGAUAUCCAUGGACUGCUGAGGAGAGGAAGAGGGCAGUUGAGGGGUUGGGUUUGGCUUCGCCAGCUCUGAUUCACUUUCGGCCCUAA
rnacentral:rRNA from 1 species